AUGCCUACUGAUCGGAAGGAUAAUAAAUAUCAUAAACAUGACCAUUGGUCCUUUCCAGUCAGUAGAGAGGAGAAAAGCCCUCCCAUUCAAAACAGGCUCCCUAAAUUAGAAAGGAAGCCUAAACCAGGUUCUCCAGCUGGCAGCGGCGCCAUUAGUGGGGACACCCCGUACAUCAGCAGCAAGAUCAGCCUUAUCUCCAAGGCGGAGAUCCGCUACGAGGGCAUACUCUACACCAUCGACACCGAGAACUCUACCAUAGCUCUCGCCAAAGUUCGGUCCUUUGGUACAGAAGACAGACAAACAGAUUGUCCAAUACCACCUCGAGAUGAAGUCUUUGAAUACAUUAUAUUCCGUGGAAGUGAUAUUAAAGACCUCACUGCUUGUGAGCCGCCAAAACCACAAUGUUCUUUGCCUCAGGACCCAGCUAUCGUUCAGUCUUCACUAGGCUCAUCUACUUCUUCAUUCCAGUCAGUGGGUUCCUAUGGACCUUUUGGCAGGAUGUCGAUGUAUAGUCAGUUCAGUCCAAGUUCAUUAGUUGAGCAGCAAUUUGGUGCUGUUGGUGUUGCUGGAAGCUCCUUGACAUCCUUUGGAACAGAAACAUCAAACAGCGGUACCCUGUCCCAAAGUAGUGCAGUUGGUUCUGCCUUUACACAGGCUACAAGAUCUGUAAAAACACAGUUAUCUCAAGGUUAUUCAAGCCCUCAGUUAGAUCCUUUGAGAAAAAGCCCUACCAUGGAACAAGCAGUAGAGACUGCCUCGGCCCACUUACCUGCUCCAGCACCUGUUGGGAGAAGGAGCCCUGUAUCGACCAGGCCUUUACCAUCUACCAGCCAAAAAGCAAUAAAGAAUCAAGAGCACAGGCGAGCUGAUAUACACAAAGUUUCAAGACCAGAAAAUGAGCAACUCAGAAAUGAUAGCAAGAGACAAAUAGUUCCAGGUGCUCUUUCAGUUCCAAGGAGAGGGUGUGGGAGUCAUCGAGGUGGCAGGGGAAGAUUUGGUAUUCGGCGAGAUGGUCCUAUGAAAUUUGAGAAAGACUUUGAAAGUGCAAAUGCACAAUUUAACAAGGAGGAAAUUGACAGAGAGUUUCAUAAUAAACUUAAAUUGAAAGUGGAAGAUAAACUUGAGAAACAGGAGAAGCCUAUAAAUGGUGAAGAUAAAGGAGACUCGGGUGUUGAUACUCAAAACAGUGAAGGAAAUGCAGAUGAAGAAGAUCCACUUGGACCUAAUUGCUAUUAUGACAAAACUAAAUCCUUCUUUGAUAAUAUUUCUUGUGAUGAUAAUAGAGAAUGGAGACCAACCUGGGCUGAAGAAAGAAGAUUAAAUGCUGAAACAUUUGGAAUCCCACUUCGUCCAAACCGAGGCCAUGGGGGGGUACAGAGGCAGAGGAGGUCUUGGUUUCCUUGGUGGCUGAGGCCGUGGUGAUGGUAGAGGUGGUACCUCCACCACCCCUCAAGGAUUUUGUGGUGGAUUCAGAGGAGGUCGUGGGAGCAGGGAAUUUGCAGAUUUUGAAUAGAGGAAAGACAACAAAGUUGCUGCAUAGUCUACAAACAAGUCUUUGGAAAUAGG